AAUUUCAUUGUAAAAAUUUUCAAUUUUCCUUUCAAUAUGUUUAAAAUAUUCAUGUUUCAACGUCAGCUGUCAACGUCAACGCAGAACAGAUAAAAGCAGAUUUGAAUAUCCGACCUUGUCAGUCAGCUGUUGUUACUAGGCCAAGGAUGGACGGGUGAUAUCGACACCCGGACCAUGAAAAAAGUUUAUGUGUUUUUUUGUGCAACGUGUAUGUGGCCGUUUCUUUCUGUUUUUUUGCUGUUUGCUGUUGUACGGAGGACUAAGCUAGCAUUCAAAAUUUAAAAAUCAAAUGUACAUUCCUAAGAUGCACUUUUUUACACCUCUAUGUAGCGGUACUUUUUUAGUAUUUGACCAUUAGCUCCGAUGAUGACGUUUAUGUCGAAAGCGCUCAGCUAAGGAAAUAAAAUUAUUUACACACUUUGA